rnacentral:lncRNA from 1 species
AGCAGUACAACAGUCCCAGAGACCAUCAGAUCCUCACUGGUUCAUACUCAGCCCAGUGUGACCACAGAAGACACAAUUCCUGCUCCUAGUGCACGGCCUCGGUCUCUUCUGGGCAGCCUCUACCUCUGCAUCCUGGUGUUUCUGGAGUUGCCCCUGUUCCUGUGCAUGCUCUGUGCCGUCCUGUGGGUGAACAGGCCUCAGAGGUGCAGUGGGUGACAUAGCAUUGGGCCCUGUCAUGAGUACCAGUGAAGUCUGUUGAUAUGGAGGCCCUGUCCCUGGAUGCAUCACCUCUGGUGGCCAAGGACAACCAAUAAAGCUGUGUUCUUGAGAAUGCUCUGAGACUUUUAGAAGAUUCUCUGCACGUGUCAAACACAUAAAAGAAUGUGCCCAAUAAAUACCAGCUGGGGAAUUGGCUCAGCAGGUAACAACAAUGGCUGCUUUUCCAGAGGUCCUGAGUUCAAUUCCAAUAACUACAUCGGUGGCUCACAACCAUCUCUAAUGAGUUCAGAUGCCCUCUUCUGCUGUGCAGGUGCACAUUCACAUAGAAUAUUCAUACAUUGAAUAAAUUUAUUAAAAUUAAUUGCAUAGAAUUAUAA